rnacentral:rRNA from 1 species
AUUGAACGCUGGCGGCAGGCCUAACACAUGCAAGUCGAGCGGUAGAGAGAAGCUUGCUUUUCUUGAGAGCGGCGGACGGGUGAGUAAUGCCUAGGAAUUUGCCUGGUAGUGGGGGAUAACGCUUGGAAACGGACGCUAAUACCGCAUACGUCCUACGGGAGAAAGCAGGGGACCUUCGGGCCUUGCGCUAUCAGAUGAGCCUAGGUCGGAUUAGCUAGUUGGUGAGGUAAUGGCUCACCAAGGCGACGAUCCGUAACUGGUUUGAGAGGAUGAUCAGUCACACUGGAACUGAGACCCGGUCCAGACUCCUACGGGAGGCAGCAGUGGGGAAUAUUGGACAAUGGGCGAAAGCCUGAUCCAGCCCUGCCGCGUGUGUGAAGAAGGUUUUCGGAUUGUAAAGCACUUUAAGUUGGGAGGAAGGGCAGUUACCUAAUACGUAUUUGUUUUGACGUUACCGACAGAAUAAGCACCGGCUAACUUUGUG